GAUGAACGCUGGCGGCGUGCCUAAUACAUGCAAGUCGAGCGAACAGACGAGGAGCUUGCUCCUCUGACGUUAGCGGCGGACGGGUGAGUAACACGUGGAUAACCUACCUAUAAGACUGGGAUAAUUUCGGGAAACCGGAGCUAAUACCGGAUAAUAUAUUGAACCGCAUGGUUCAAUAGUGAAAGACGGUUUUGCUGUCACUUAUAGAUGGAUCCGCGCCGCAUUAGCUAGUUGGUAAGGUAACGACUUACCAAGGCGACGAUGCGUAGCCGACCUGAGAGGGUGAACCGCCACACUGGAACUGAGACACGGUCCAGACUCCUACGGGAGACAGCAGUAGGGAAUCUUCCGCAAUGGGCGAAAGCCUAACGGAGCAACGCCGCGUGAGUGAUGAAGGUCUUCGGAUCGUAAAACUCUGUUAUUAGGGAAGAACAAAUGUGUAAGUAACUAUGCACGUCUUGACGGUACCUAAUCAGAAAGCCACGGCUAACUACGUG
rnacentral:rRNA from 1 species